GUCCUCCCAAUGCUUACCACAGACAGCACACAUUGUGGCUGGCUGUACAGAAAGAGGAGGUACAGUAAUUCUGCCUUAAUGUCACACCCAGGGGAAGGUCACCCUUCCGUACUGGGUAGGGAUACUGUA
rnacentral:snoRNA from 1 species